CAGUAGCCGCGGUAAAACGUAGGUGGCAAGCGUUAUCCGGAAUUAUUGGGCGUAAAGCGCGCGCAGGUGGUUUCUUAAGUCUGAUGUGAAAGCCCACGGCUCAACCGUGGAGGGUCAUUGGAAACUGGGAGACUUGAGUGCAGAAGAGGAAAGUGGAAUUCCAUGUGUAGCGGUGAAAUGCGUAGAGAUAUGGAGGAACACCAGUGGCGAAGGCGACUUUCUGGUCUGUAACUGACACUGAGGCGCGAAAGCGUGGGGAGCAAACAGGAUUAGAUACCCCAGUAGUCCCUGUCUCUUAUAU
rnacentral:rRNA from 1 species